rnacentral:lncRNA from 1 species
UCAUAUUUCAAACACAAAACCUAUUCAAUAUAACUACAUAAAGACACCAAUUUAACCAUUCACAUUUCACCACAAAUAUACCAAAAGGACCAUAUAUUACAAGUACUUAAAAGUGACCAAAAGACUUAAACUUGCCUAAGCAUUAUAAGUCUAACAUACAAAAUACAUAUUCCAAAAACAUAUUCAUACCAAAUUGUCCACUAACAUAUUCAGAGACAUUCAUUAGAAAAAGGUCCUAUACAUGCCAUUUAUAACCUUGGCCAAAAUAACUUAACAACUACCGAAGUGGUUGCUAGAUAGUGUGAUAGAUCUUCGACAAGCUUUCAACCGAUCGAGCUUCUGAUAAUCUACGAAACAAAGAAAAAUAACUACGUAAGCAACUAGUGCUUAGUAAGCUCGUAUAAACUCAAACAUAACUUACCAUUCUUAAGCUCAAUUUAUAAAAUGUGCAUAACAUCUUUACCAUACUCAUAAGCUUAAUACAAUCCUAUAAGCAUCACCAAACUCACAAAUUAGUAGGCUCAUGUAUAAUGCAUAUAGAAAAUCAACCAUUUCACAAAUGAAUCUUCAUGAACAUAACAUUCAUCACAUAAUCAUAUAGUUCCAUUCAAUUCACUUGCAUUCAUCCAAAUUUACCUUUCAUAAAUUUAUAAGUAAUUAUCCAUUUAAACACAUGCCUUGCCAAUUACCUUUACUUACCCGUUGAACCAUCUAGAAUUACAUCGGAUACUUAGGAAUGCUCACACAUAGUGUGCCUGCCCAUAUAAUUAUAGCCUUUCUUUUUCAAUAGUGCUCACACGAGCUAUGAAAUGGGCCUGUUCACACGAGUUGUGGGUUGGAAUGGUAGCUACACGAUGCUGCUCACACGAGUUAUGGAGAAUCCGCAAUAAAUGCAGGACCUUAGUCAUCGGUAAGGCAUUCAAGACCAGCACCUGAAACAUGAAAUCCCUAAUAACAUGUCAUUCAUAUCCUAAAAAUUCUUAAGGUUCAAAUGAGAUUAUUUAUCCAUCAAUUACUCAAAGCAUCGAUAUAUAUAUCCAUUUUCAAGUCAGUUUAUAACUAACACAACAUGGCCGAUAAACAAUCAAACCAUCAUUAAUAAUAUUAUAAUUUAUACAAACUUACCUAGACAACUAUGGUUGCAAUAACAGAGUUGAAUUCUAGUCUAAAGCUUUAGUUUUUCCUCUAUUUAAGUUCGGUUAUUAUUUAUCUUGAUCUAAAUAAAUAGUUUCAUUCAAUUAAGUACUUCAAUUAACCUCAAGUAUUCAAUACAAUCUAUAAUUCAUAUUAUCAUAAAAUUACAAAGUUACCCCUCUCAUUUUAACUUUUCACAAAUUAGUCUUUAAGCUCGUAACUUAAAAUUUAACCAUUUUAACCUAAACCCAUGUUAACUGAUUCUACUAGGGAUCUUGAACAACCCAUAAUUACCAACAUUUCACAUUAAAACCAAUGGAUUUUUACACUUUCAAUAAUUUAAUCCCUAAUCUCAAAUUCAUCAAAAACUAUUUAACAAAACAAGUUUGUUUGACAACCAAGAUUAAUAAUCUAUCAACUAACAUCAAAACACAUUCAAACUCAAUUAUGGAAAGUCCCUCAACCUUUAACAAUUUUGCAAAUUAACCCCCGAGUUAAGUAGUUUAAGCUAAAACGAGCUCAAAAACAUAAAAAUUAAUAAAAACGAGGCUUAAUUACAUACCAUGCAAGGUGAAACACCAUGACCGAAAGCUUCUUCCCCUUUCUAAUGGCUAAUCGGUUUUGAAACAAUCAAAUGAAGAAGAUUAUGAUUUUAACUUAAUUAAUUUUAUGUUUAUUUACUAAUUUACCAUCUUACCCUUGUUAUUAAUUAAAAACUUCAAUUAAACCUUUUCCAUAACUAUCCACUAACUUAAUUAUGGCAUAAUUACCAUCUAAGUUCAUUAGCUAUCCCUUCCAUAGCCAUUUAGUCAUUUUAACUAAUAUAACUCAACUUUUAUACAUUUUUCAAUUUAGUCUUUUUUACCUAGUUAACCAAUUAAACUUCAAAAUUUCUUAAUGAAAAUUUAAUACUACUUUAAAUCAACCUUAUAGACAUUAAAUAAAUAUUAAAAUAUUAACAUAGUUGUCAGAGUCAUGGUUUCGAAACCACUAUUUCUGACACCACUAAAAAUGGGUUGUUACAAACGUCACCCUUCCUACCAAAGAUAACAUUUUAGCAUCUUGAUUAUCAAGGUUUCGCCGAAAUUUAUCCACCACAAAAUUGAAAGUACUCGAUGUCAACCUACAAUGAAAUAGUGGCAUUCCCAAGUAGGUUCCUAAAUCAUCCGUUUUAGCAUAGCCAAGAACCCUAAAAAUAUCAUCAACUACAGAAAGAUUAGUGUUUUUGGAGAAAAAUACCUCUGUCUUUUUAGAAUUAACAUUGUGACCUGAUGCACUACCAAAAAUAUCCAUAACCUUCUUAAUUAUACGAGCUUGAGACACAUUUGCUUCUGCGAAAAGGAAUAAAUCAUCAGCAAAGAAAAUGUGUGAAAUAGCUGGCCCAUUCUUGACAACUAAAAUUGGCAUCCAAGCAUUCUCCUUAACCUUCCUAUGAAUCAUUUAGCUAAAUCUUUCCAUACAGGAGACAAACAAAUAAGGGGAAAGGGGGCAACCUUAUCGAAUACCUCUCUUCGAAACAAACUCCUUAGAAAAAACCCCAUUCCAAAUUAUUUGCAUCGAAACAGAAGAAACACAAUCCAUAAUAAUCCAAGAAAGCGAAGAAGGAAUACUUGAAUCAAACAACGUAUCCUCAAUGAAAUACCAUCUGAGUUUGUCAUAUGCCUUAUUUAGAUCACCUUUAUGGCUAUCCUCCCAUUUUUUUCCUUUUUUUUAUCCUCAUCGAAUGUAUUAUUUUUUGAGCAAUUACUAUGUUAUCCGUAAUAUGCCUCCCUGCUACAAAGCUUACUUGGGUUUGCGCAUUGAGCAUAGGAAAAAUAGUCUCUAAAUCUAUUGGCAAUGAUCUUCGAAAAUAGUUUAUUUAAAACAUUACAUAAGCUGAUGGGGCAAAAUUGUGAUAGAGUUUUUGGGCUUUGCACUUUCGGAAUAAGCACCAAUAGAGUACAUUUGAUAGCUUGAUCAAUUGAUUUACCACCAAAGAUUCCCCUAACCUAAGAGCAAAUAUCUUGACCUAUAGUCUCCCACUAAUUUUGAUAGAAAAAAGCAUGGAAACCAUCCGGUCAAGAGCCUUCAAUGGACCCAUACUGAACAGAGCACAUCUAAUUUCAUCAUUAGAAACAUCAUCACCCAAAAAAUCCAAGUUAAUCGAAUCAAUCACAGGAAAGGGCCUAUGUAAGGGAAAAGUAGCAUACCUAUCAUCAUUAAAAGAAUAGAGGGAACUAAAUAAAGAAACAACUUCACUUUAAAGGAUACUGUCAACAAAACGCCAAUCCUCAUUAACUUUUAAAGUUGAAAUUCUAUUGGAAUUUCUCCUCCUUAAUGCUUUAUUAUGGAAGAAUUUCGUGUUACGAUCACCAUGUUGAAACCAAUCCACUCUUGAUUUUUGCCUCCAUAGUGAUUCUUCUUCAAGGGUCUUUUCAUACUCAAUACUCAAAUCCAAAUCCACAUCCAAAAGGAAUUUCAGACACCUCCUAUCUAACGCUGCUUGGAUAUUCCCAAUACAAUGAGCAAUAUCUCGUUUUUGUUUCCUAAUAUAACCGUAAACAUCUCUGUUCCAUCUCCUAAGGUCUGAAGUAAGGGAGUUUAAAGAAGCUGAUAAGUCUGGUCCUUAUUUCCACCUUUCUUGGAUAAGUAGAUUAAAGGAAGGGUGGGAAACCCAUGAAGACAAAAACCUGAAGGGCCUAAUUGAUCUAGGCAUCAUGGUCGACUCUUUAGAAGUCAAAAGUGGCCUAUGGUUUGACUUCAACCGAGUAAGAUAGUACACCACAAUAGCUAAAAAAAGCCAGAACCAUUCAAAAUUAUCGAUCGCCCUACCAAGUCUUUCAAAGAUGGACCCUCUACGCCAUGUGAAUUGAGGUCCCUUGAAUCCAAGAUCCCUUAAUGCAUUCAACUGAAUAAAAUCCUGAAAUAAGUUACAACCAAAAAUAGCUGGACGACCACCUCUUUUCUCAUCCGGUGAUAGAAAAGCGUUAAAAUCUCCUAUCAACAUCCAAGGGCCAUUGACAGAUUAACCAAUACUAUUUAAGAGAUUCCACAAAACUGAACGCUUCUAUUUAUCUGGGCUCCCAUAAACAAAGGUAACAAGCAAGGCCUGAACCCCACAUUCUUCCUAACUCUACAGUGAACAAAUUGAGAGUCAUAUUGAAGAAUUUGAACUUCAAGACAAAUUUUCCAAACUAUCCAAAUACCACCCGAGUAACCUCGAGAUUCAACUCUAUAAGAGAAAUCAAAAUUAAGAUUAGAAAUAAUCCUAUCCACUUUAACAGCACUUACCCUUGUCUUAAGAAAAGAAGCUAUGUCAACAUCAUAUUUGUUGAAAUAGUCUUUGACAACCCUUAAAAAUUUUGGGUUUGCAUAGCCUUGACAGUUCUAAACAAAGAAACUUGGUAAAAUCAUAAAAAAGAGAAGAUUUUAAACUGAACCAAACUGACCUCAAACAGAUGCUAUAUCCAUACUAUCGGUUCCCGUUGAAACACUAUCAGCCAUGCCAUUCGUAGACAAAGAAUCAUCUACCCCAAGUGUCUCAACUAUUUUAUUCAUGGCUUCCAGUAAAGGAACAUGGGCUAGCCCUGUACUUUGAGCUUACCUUUUUUUCCCCAAAGAAUGUUAAGAGGCUUUUUGACAUGUUUGAAACUCCCCUCUGAUGGAUUGCUGCGCACAGAAGCGAGAACAUUUACUUCUAUCGACGAACCAAAAACUAACAUUGUAUUAGUGGAAAGAUUCAGGUGUUUAUUCUCAACAAAAGCUACCACUUAAUGUUUCAAAAUGUUAAGUGUAGAAUUCAUUGGUUUUUCCAUAAAAAAAAUUAGUACCCUCAAACCCCUGCUUUACCUCCAACUGUGAAAGGUUAACAGUUGUCGACAAGCCUAGCACCCCCAAUUGAGGACAAG